UACGGAGGGAGCUAGCGUUGUUCGGAAUUACUGGGCGUAAAGCGUGCGCAGGCGGUGAUGUAAGACAGUUGUGAAAUCCCCGGGCUCAACCUGGGAACUGCAUCUGUGACUGCAUCGCUGGAGUACGGUAGAGGGGGAUGGAAUUCCGCGUGUAGCAGUGAAAUGCGUAGAUAUGCGGAGGAACACCGAUGGCGAAGGCAAUCCCCUGGACCUGUACUGACGCUCAUGCACGAAAGCGUGGGGAGCAAACAGG
rnacentral:rRNA from 1 species